rnacentral:rRNA from 1 species
GUAGGUGGCAAGCGUUGUCCGGAAUUAUUGGGCGUAAGGCGCGCGCAGGCGGUUCUUUAAGUCUGAUGUCGAAAGCCCACGGCUCAACCGUGGAGGGUCAUUGGAAACUGGAGAACUUGAGUACAGAAGAGGAAAGCGGAAUUCCACGUGUAGCGGUGAAAUGCGUAGAGAUGUGGAGGAACACCAGUGGCGAAGGCGGCUUUCUGGUCUGUAACUGACGCUGAGGCGCGAAAGCGUGGGGAGCAAACAGGAUUAGAUACCCUGGUAGUCCACGCGUAAACGAUGAGUGCUAAGUGUUAGGGGGUUUCCGCCCCCUUAGUGCUGCAGCUAACGCAUUAAGCACUCCGCCUGGGAGUACGGCCGCAAGGCUG